AGCCUGGGUUAUCCAGGUGGACCCAAAGUAAUCACCGGAGUCUUUAAAAGCAGAGAACUUUCUCCACCUGCCAUCAGAAAGAGAUGUGUUAAAAGAGAGUAGAAGAGAUGAGGCAGAAGGUGAACCAGGGAGAUUCAAAAUGUAGGAAGGACUCGGACUAUCACUGCAGCGUUUGAUGGUGGGAGAAGGAACUUACAAGCCAAGGAAUGCGGGUAACCUUGAGAAGCUGAGAACAACCCAAUGAGGACAUGGGGAACCUCAGUCCUACACUGCAUACAACUGAAUUCUGCCAACAUCCUGAGCGAGCCUGGGAGCCGAUUCUUCCCUCAGAACCUCCUGAACAGAACAUAGCCUUGCUGACGUCUUUAUUCCGGGCUUGUGAUGCUCUAAGCAAAGUAUCCAGUCAAGUCUGCUGGACGUCUGACCUACAAACAGCACCUGGAGUCAGUCCUAGCAGCAGCCCCGCUCUGACCAUACCCGCUGAAGGCUCAAAACUGUUGGAGCAGCAAGGCCAGAGAGAGAAAAUUAGCAUGACUCUUGUAAAACAGCCAAUAUUUCCAGCUAAUUCACACUGGCUGUCCAGGAAGGAAAUCUACUGCCUGCCAGGUGAGAGUCUCCAGGCAGAGUGGGCGCAUCACCGUGAGCGAGUCGCAGAGGAUGGAAGUCUGAAAUCAAGAGGUUGGCAGGAUCAUGCUCUCUCCGAAGCCUCCAGUUGAUGUGAAGAUGAUUUCGGAUCACACAGAUAAUACCCACAAAGGCAUACACGUUAUGAGUUCUCAAAAUUUCUCUACAGGGUGAGACAUGCUCCGGGGAAGGCUUAUCAGAACAUCCAGCAGGAGAACAAAUAUGGGCUGACAACGCACUAAAAUUGCACGUUUUACGAGGGACUAAAAUAUAACUCUUGUGCACUGAUGGUGAUUGCCUGUGUCUAGUGUACUCUAUGAGACAAGGCAGAAGCUCAGUGGACAUUUGUUGAACAACUAAAGAAAUGUAUGACUGAAGAAGGAAUAAUUAAUAUAAUGAAAAAUACAUGACCUCCAAUCGUUAAACAUGGUUUAUAUCAUUCCAGCCAAUCUCGGUACCUAGAGACCUGGUUUCUAUUUUUCAACUUUGGAUUAUACUCUAUUCAGUAUCAUUUUGUUAUUGUUAAACUGAUUGGUCUAUACGAGCAUUUUCUAAGUGAUUAAAAAUUCUUUUAAGCAUGAUAUUAGUGAGUAGGCAAUAUCCACUAAUAUGAUAUUUCUAUAUCAUAUUCUGAUAUGAAUGUUCUGCCAUUAAAAAAAUCUUUUUAUUCUUCAAUUUAUAUGUUGUUUUCUAAUUUUUUCACAUGUGUAAUUAAUAAUUACAAAGAAUACAUAUAUAUUUAUUAUUUGAUUAUUUCCUUAGUGCACCUUGGUGGAAGGACAUUUACUGACUUAACAUGCACACAUAUUUUAAGGCAGAUGAUAUGUAUGCAAAAUGGCCCUCUAGAAAGGGUUUUCCAAUUAAUUUUUGACAAGCAGUGUUAAGGCGCUUUUUAUACAAAACUUUAGCCAAUACUGAAGAGAAAUUGUUUUUUCCUGUUUGAUAGUUGAAAAUGAAAUCUCAUUUUUAUUUCUCUAAUAACUCA
ensembl:lncRNA